rnacentral:rRNA from 1 species
GACGUAGGGCGCGAGCGUUGUCCGGAUUUAUUGGGCGUAAAGAGCUCGUAGGCGGCUUGUCGCGUCGACUGUGAAAUCCCGCGGCUCAACUGCGGGUCUGCAGUCGAUACGGGCAGGCUAGAGUUCGGUAGGGGAGACUGGAAUUCCUGGUGUAGCGGUGAAAUGCGCAGAUAUCAGGAGGAACACCGGUGGCGAAGGCGGGUCACUGGGGAUUUUCUGACGCUGAGGAACGAAAGCCAGGGGAGCGAACGGG